rnacentral:tRNA from 1 species
GGGGAUGUGGCUCAGUGGUUAAGCACUUCUGGGUUCAAUUCCCAGUACUCCCA